rnacentral:lncRNA from 1 species
GGGCCAAAGGUUUGAAAAUCAAUAGAACAGAGAUUGGACUGGUGACGAAUAAAAUUCUUUCCCCUCUUUGCCUAUUUCCCACUAUUUAUGUUACGUAUUCAUUACAAAAAUCGAUUGAGAAACCAAUGAAAUUCAAAGAAUGAAGAUAGAUCAGUGUGGAAGAUAUAAAGGGUCGGAUAUGCCACAUCCCUUUUCUUUCUCUACACAAUUGC